CGGUCUCUCCCUCUGCUAACAGCUACAACGAGACCCUCAGCACCCUGCGCUAUGCUGCACAUGCCAGAAAUAUUGUCAACAAGCCCCGGGUUAAUGAGGAUGCCAGUGUUCGGCUGAUCAGGGAGCUGAGGGAGGAGAUUGACAGGCUGAAGAGCAUGCUGCUCAGCUUUGAAAUGCAACGUAAUCCCAGUCCAUCCCUGAGCGAUGAGAGGGAUGGAAAUCUCUCUGACAUCGUGCUACAGAACGAACUGAAGGUAACACAGGGUGGACAUGCAUGGUUUCAUCCACUGACAGAUACAGUCGUCCUUGACGCAUCAUCG